rnacentral:rRNA from 1 species
UAGUUAACACCUGCACUAUUUGACGUUACCUACAGAAGAAGCACCGGCUAACUCCGUGCCAGCAGCCCGCGGUAAUACGGAGGGUGCGAGCGUUAAUCCGGAAUUACUGGGCGUAAAGCGCAUGCAGGCGGCCUGUUAAGUCAGAUGUGAAAGCCCCGGGGCUUAACCUCGGAAUUGCAUUUUGAAACUGGCAGGCUAGAGUCUUGUAGAGGGGGUAGAAUUUCAGGUGUAGCGGUGAAAUGCGUAGAGAUCUGAAGGAAUACCAGUUGGCGAAGGCGGCCCCCCUGGACAAAGACUGACGCUCAGGUACUGCGAAAGCGUGGGGAGCCAAACAGGAUUAGAUACCCCUGGUAG